rnacentral:rRNA from 1 species
UACGUAGGGGGCAAGCGUUGUCCGGAAUCAUUGGGCGUAAAGCGCGCGUAGGCGGCCCUGGUAAGUCCGCUCUGAAAGUCCAGGGCUCAACCCUGGAAAGCGGGUGGAUACUGCCGGGCUAGAAUCCGGAAGAGGCGAGUGGAAUUCCUGGUGUAGCGGUGGAAUGCGCAGAUAUCAGGAGGAACACCAAUAGCGAAGGCAGCUCGCUGGGACGGUAUUGACGCUAAGGCGCGAAAGCGUGGGGAGCAAACAGG